UACAGAGGUGGCAAGCGUUGUUCGGAAUUACUGGGCGUAAAGGGCGCGCAGGCGGCACUACAGGUACUGGGUGAAAUCUCCCUGCUCAACGGGGAGGGUGCUUAGUAGACUGUAGAGCUAGAGGUGGGUAGAGGGUGGUGGAAUUGCUGGUGUAGCGGUGAAAUGCGUAGAGAUCCGGAGGAACACCGACGGCGUAGGCAGCGCCCUAGACGAGACCUGACGCUCAGGCACGAAAGCGCGGGGAGCGAACAGG
rnacentral:rRNA from 1 species